rnacentral:rRNA from 1 species
GACGAAGGGGGCUAGCGUUGUUCGGAAUUACUGGGCGUAAAGCGCGUGUAGGCGGUUGUUCAAGUCAGGUGUGAAAGCCUUGAGCUCAACUCAAGAAAUGCACUUGAUACUGGAUGACUAGAGGACCGGAGAGGAUAGUGGAAUUCCCAAUGUAGUGGUGAAAUACGUAGAGAUUGGGAAGAACACCAGUGGCGAAGGCGGCUAUCUGGACGGUUUCUGACGCUAAGACGCGAAAGCGUGGGGAGCAAACAGG